rfam:Oryza sativa Japonica Group DNA, chromosome 1, cultivar: Nipponbare, complete sequence.
AAAAAGGCAAACCCUGGGUUUUCAUGUCUAACUUCGAUUGUCCGUCUUAUAUGAUUUUUUUUAUAAUUCGUAUUUUUAUUGUUGUUAGAUGAUAAAACAUGAUUAAUAUUUUAUACGUGACUUGUCUUUUUAUUUUUUUUAUAAUUUUUUUAAAUAAGACGGACGGUCAAAAGUUAGACACGUAAACUAUGGUU